rnacentral:rRNA from 1 species
GACGAACCGAGCGAACGUUGUUCGGAAUCACUGGGCUUAAAGGGCGCGUAGGCGGGUGCUCAAGUCCGGGGUGAAAUCCCACAGCUCAACUGUGGGCUUGCAUUCGAUACGGGCAGGCUAGAGUUCGGUAGGGGAGACUGGAAUUCCUGGUGUAGCGGUGUAAUGCGCAGAUAUCAGGAGGAACACCUGUGGCGAAAGCGGCGCACUGGACCACAACUGACGCUGAGGCGCGAAAGCUAGGGGAGCAAACAGG